AAGUAGUGGAGCAGAUACCACUAAAAAAAAACGAGGCGGUUCUGAAAAGCCUUAUGAGUAAGAAAACA
rfam:Flavobacterium sp. LM4 Flavobacterium_sp_LM4_contig1, whole genome shotgun sequence.